rfam:Sphingobium baderi strain DE-13, complete genome.
CGGGGAGUAGCGCAGUCUGGUAGCGCAUCUGCUUUGGGAGCAGAGGGUCGCAGGUUCGAAUCCUGUCUCCCCGA